UACGUAGGGGGCAAGCGUUGUCCGGAUUUACUGGGCGUAAAGAGCGCGCAGGCGGCUGGUCAAGUCCGAUGUGAAAUCUCCCGGCUCAACUGGGAAACUGCAUCGGAAACUGAUCGGCUUGAAGAUGGGAGAGGGUAGUGGAAUUCCCGGUGUAGUGGUGAAAUGCGUAGAUAUCGGGAGGAACACCAGUGGCGAAGGCGACUACCUGGCCCAUUCUUGACGCUGAGGCGCGAAAGCUAGGGGAGCGAACGGG
rnacentral:rRNA from 1 species